CUUUUACUCUAUAGGAAAAACCCCUACAUAAACAAAUACAUGGGCGCAGACAUUUUGGACACCCAAAGUUGUGCGGAGGAGAAAAUGCUACCUGGCGCGUGAUUGGUCAAUAAGAGAAAAGACUUGAUAUGUAUUUGACAAGUGAAAUAAAGUUGAUAAAAAUGUAAUAUCAAGACUUGGGUUUCUUUGAGAUAUGUAGGAGUUACAGGUAAAAAUUUGAAAGGAGGGGUGCCCUUUGGUUAGAGAUUUUCAUUUGGUGUCAAACGCACCUUGUUGUAAACAAAUGGAAAUUGAAAGUAAAAGUGCCGCGUGACGGUAUAUUUUUUCUGUCAUGUUUUGUUUUCCAAUAUCUCGAACUUUCACGACAAAAAGGCCAUUUGCCCGAAAUUCAAUAUAUGUAUGAGUGACAGGGGCUCAAGUUUGUAUGGAAGUCUAUGGGAAAACAUUUAGUGGUGUUUGUCCUAUAGAAUAGGUAUGUAUUUCAUGGAAAAACAUUGAUUACAGCCAAAAAAUCAAUCAGUUCCUAUUUUUUUGGCAUUGAGAUCAUAUUUUAAUUAGUUUUUACUAUUUCUUAAAAAAAUAGAGGGUUUGGGUAAAUUGAGGCCCACAAUGGGGGCUGCACAUGGUGAAAAAAUGCUAAUUUUUUUGCCCUAGCUCUCAUAUUUUCAAUAAAUGUACAUGUAAAUAAUUUUAAAUAAAUAUUUCUGCUGAAAUUUACUGUGAAUAUUGUAAAUAAUACAAUAUUGAUGUUUAUGGGCAUCAUCAAUACACAGAACAUAUGAAUAUCCCCCUUGCAGUUUGAGAAAUUCAUUUAAAUCCAUUUAUUUUAUGAGUGCAGACAUUGGAACAGAUUGACUAAUCCUCUUUCAAAUUUGUGUAAAUUAGAGUUGAUUGAAUAAUUUAUAACAAAAUUAGACUGCUGUUAAGUAAUUAGGUUACUUUGUUUUUAAUUAAGGGGCCUAAUCCAGCAACAAAGCCAAUUUCAGUCAUGUAAUCAGUGCUGGCUUGAUAUAAAAAUUAUAGUUUGGGGAAAAAUUAGAGAUUACUAGUAGGAAAUUUAAUUGAGAUUACUGUAAAAUAUAUUUUAGCAGAAAAUACAUUGAAAAUCUAAGAAAUUUGCAAAAUUAUUAUUGCAAAAAUGAUGAAAAAAGUGUCUGAAUAUCCUUCCUCCUUGCCAUAUCCAAUCUUGUUAUUCUGCAGAAAAGAGGGGGGGGGGGAUUUUGUACUCUAAUGAUGCUGGAAAAUGAAGGAAUUUUUUUAAAAUGUGGUUUAUUUGAACAACAAGAGUCAUGCUUAUCUGCAGUUAUUUUUUUUCAAUUUCUUAGAUAUUUUUAAAAAUAUUUAUCUCAGUAAAUUCUAUUUAAACAUGAAUAUUUUAAAGCUAUUUCAUCACUAAUGCUUAUAAAAAAUUCAAAAGAUGGUGUAAAUAAUAAAAAAAUAUAAUAUAAGCUACUACAUGCAUUUAUCAGUAUGUUUUAAUAAAAUAAAAUGUAUUUCAGCGAUGCAUUCUCAAGAAGGAGGAGAUUAAUGAACCCUCCCCUCUUACAAUGAACAACACAUGGACACUCUCAGGAUGGUCCCUUUGCUUUCAUUAAGAGUUCCAAGAUGAGGGUCUGAUUGACUGGGGUGUGAAAUGUAACAGCCAGUGGUGUACUUAAGCUAAGACUGUCAGUCCCAAUAUUCAAGAGUGAUGCAUUCUCAAGAAGGAGGAGAUUAAUGAACCCUCCCCUCUUACAAUGAACAACACAUGGACACUCUCAGGAUGGUCCCUUUGCUUUCAUUAAGAGUUCCAAGAUGAGGGUCUGAUUGACUGGGGUGUGAAAUGUAACAGUCAAUGGUGUACUUAAGCUAAGACUGUCAGUCCCAAUAUUCAAGAGUGAUGCAUUCUCAAGAAGGAGGAGAUUAAUGAACCCUCCCCUCUUACAAUGAACAACACAUGGACACUCUCAGGAUGGUCCCUUUGCUUUCAUUAAGAGUUCCAAGAUGAGGGUCUGAUUGACUGGGGUGUGAAAUGUAACAGUCAAUGGUGUACUUAAGCUAAGACUGUCAGUCCCAAUAUUCAAGAGUGAUGCAUUCUCAAGAAGGAGGAGAUUAAUGAACCCUCCCCUCUUACAAUGAACAACACAUGGACACUCUCAGGAUGGUCCCUUUGCUUUCAUUAAGAGUUCCAAGAUGAGGGUCUGAUUGACUGGGGUGUGAAAUGUAACAGUCAAUGGUGUACUUAAGCUAAGACUGUCAGUCCCAAUAUUCAAGAGUGAUGCAUUCUCAAGAAGGAGGAGAUUAAUGAACCCUCCCCUCUUACAAUGAACAACACAUGGACACUCUCAGGAUGGUCCCUUUGCUUUCAUUAAGAGUUCCAAGAUGAGGGUCUGAUUGACUGGGGUGUGAAAUGUAACAGUCAAUGGUGUACUUAAGCUAAGACUGUCAGUCCCAAUAUUCAAGAGUGAUGCAUUCUCAAGAAGGAGGAGAUUAAUGAACCCUCCCCUCUUACAAUGAACAACACAUGGACACUCUCAGGAUGGUCCCUUUGCUUUCAUUAAGAGUUCCAAGAUGAGGGUCUGAUUGACUGGGGUGUGAAAUGUAACAGCCAGUGGUGUACUUAAGCUAAGACUGUCAGUCCCAAUAUUCAAGAGGAAAAACCCCUACAUAAACAAAUACAUGGGCGCAGACAUUUUGGACACCCAAAGUUGUGCGGAGGAGAAAAUGCUACCUGGCGCGUGAUUGGUCAAUAAGAGAAAAGACUUGAUAUGUAUUUGACAAGUGAAAUAAAGUUGAUAAAAAUGUAA